AUUGAACGCUGGCGGCAGGCCUAACACAUGCAUGUCGAGCGGAUGAGAGGAGCUUGCUUCUCGAUUCAGCGGCGGACGGGUGAGUAAUGCCUAGGAAUCUGCCUGGUAGUGGGGGCCAACGUUUCGAAAGGAACGCUAAUACCGCAUACGUCCUACGGGAGAAAGCAGGGGACCUUCGGGCCUUGCGCUAUCAGAUGAGCCUAGGUCGGAUUAGCUAGUUGGUGAGGUAAUGGCUCACCAAGGCGACGAUCCGUAACUGGUCUGAGAGGAUGAUCAGUCACACUGGAACUGAGACACGGUCCAGACUCCUACGGGAGGCAGCAGUGGGGAAUAUUGGACAAUGGGCGAAAGCCUGAUCCAGCCAUGCCGCGUGUGUGAAGAAGGUCUUCGGAUUGUAAAGCACUUUAAGUUGGGAGGAAGGGUUGUAGAUUUAUACUCUGCAAUUUUGACAUUACCGACAGAAUAAGCACCGGCUAACUCUGUGCCAGCAGCCGCCGUAAAAC
rnacentral:rRNA from 1 species